CCUACGGGCGACAGCAGUGGGGAAUAUUGCACAAUGGGGGAAACCCUGAUGCAGCGACGCCGCGUGAGUGAAGAAGUAAUUCGUUACGUAAAGCUCUAUCAGCAGGGAAGAAACACUGACCUUACGGUCAGCAGACGGUACCUGAGUAAGAAGCCCCGGCUAACUACGUGCCAGCAGCCGCGGUAAUACGUAGGGGGCAAGCGUUAUCCGGAUUUACUGGGUGUAAGGGGAGCGUAGACGGUGGGCCAAGUCUGGAGUGAAAUGCCGCAGCUUAACUGCGGAACUGCUUUGGAAACUGGCGAACUAGAGUGCGGGAGGGGUGAGCGGAACUCCUAGUGUAGCGGUGAAAUGCGUAGAUAUUAGGAGGAACACCGGUGGCGAAGGCGGCUUACUGGACCGUAACUGACGUUGAGGCUCGAAAGCGUGGGGAGCAAACAGGAUUAGAUACCCUAGUAGUC
rnacentral:rRNA from 1 species